rnacentral:misc_RNA from 1 species
UAAGGGGGGGGGAGGGGAUGCUGUAGGUGUUUAGUAGGGUGACUCUUACAUGUUUCAUAGGUAAUACCGAGUUCUAUUUCCUUUUUGAAUAAACUGGUUGAAUUAAAGAUUUGUACAUAAGUUUAUUUCUAGCUUGGAAACUAACUGUAUAUGAGUGUCAUUGGGCACGGAUUUAGGUGAAUUAUAUGCUUGAAUGUUGGGUUUGUAUUUUUUUAGCUUUCCUUUGGGAUCUGAUAAUGGAAAAGAUAACAUCUAAUAGUUUGCUGGAAUAUCACCCUGUUUCCUUUGGCACAACUACUCUCUAAGUGAUCCAGUGUUACUUUUAAUUUAAAGCCUUCUCCAUCUUCAUGAUUUUGGAUGGAGGCAGAAAUGUCCAAACAUACGGAGGUUUCCUUCACUCAGGCAAGGUAAGGAGGAGCAGGAUAAAGGAUCACCUUGAUAACUGUUUUUGGAAGUUUAUUGCCUUAUCCUGUAAUUAAAUGGGCUCAUCAAAAUGCAAGCAUGAGGAAGAAUGAUGCUUAUUCAAAUGGCUAACUUUGGUUUGUGCCAGAGAAAUGUUGCACUUUUUUGAAAGUUUCAGUGGAGAAAACCUUUUGAGAGAUUAGAUUGGGUGCUUGCCUGUUUGGUUUUACAUAGUUUCAGAUUUAGUGGUUAGACUAAUUUAUGGAUUUUUCACUCUUUUUGUCUCUGUGUCUUUUGCCUGGAGCUUGAAAAAACAUAUUUAGUUUUGACUUGAAUCUAGGUCCUGAAAUUUUGAGAUUAGUGAAAUGGAUUUUGGAGUUUCCUUUGAUUGUUUAGUAGCAUAUGGUAUUCAAAAGUCUACUAUAUGGAAUUAUAAUAAAUUUCCUUUUCUUUUUUGCUCAAGGACUAUUGAGCUGAGAUGAUCAGUAGUUUGAUAAUGGGAAAGCAAAAAAUGUGCAGUUGUGUAUGCUGGAGUCCCAUGUAGGUGCAGAAUUAGAACUUCAAGAUUGGAGGGGUUGAGAGUAAAGGUGACUAUGGAAAACUUUGUGUAAAGGGGGAAUGGAAAAUUUUCAGGUUUUAAGGGGGUCAAAGGUAAGUGUAGCAAUGGAAAUUGAAAAAUUUGGAGAGCCAAGUCAGGGUGUUUACAUUUCAAGGGGCUAAAGGAGAGGAUAAUGGAAAAAUAUUAAGAUUUCAAGUAUUGUAUAAGAUAUAUAUUUUUUGGCUUGCUUUUGUUUUGUUUUUCUCUCGCCCUUUUUUUU